rnacentral:piRNA from 1 species
UGAUCACUCAUCAUUGUAGGCCUUGCAUC